rnacentral:lncRNA from 1 species
CUUCCUCUUUUCUCUCACGUUAAUCUACCCACCCCCAACAAUAACAUCCACAAAUCCUCUCUCUCACCGUCAGAAGAAGGAAGCUAAGCGAGAAGCGGAGAAAUUAUCGGCGGCGAAAGAAAAGGAGUCCUCUCGGGAGAGGGCGAUGGCAGAGAACGAUGACCAGCGUCGCAUGGCCUGAGACUAAGGUGGGGUUUUGGUUCGGGAGCUGCCAAAGCUAGUUUCUUUUGGAUCGAUUGAUACGCGACGCAACAACAACGAAGAUGUUCUUCCUUCGGAUUGGGUUAGGGUUCUUCAAUGAGAUCCAAGACCGUGCGAGUCAAAGCCAAAGAAAAAAGAGAGAAAGAAAGAGAGUUUAUUUUGGUUUCUCAUUCUAUUCUAUGGGAAAUUGCUUAGUGCUUUAUAUGUAUGGCUCUGCUUUCUUCGUCUA